UUUAAGCCACCUUAUCGGAAUGGUCUCUGUAACUUGACGUGGCUUUCCGCUUCAACCGGAACCAGCGUUCUUUUUCCUGUUCGUUGAUGAGAGCUGGAGUACCACUCGAACCGACACUAAAAGCCCAAUUUAAAGAAACAUAAUGGUGACAGACGUGCAGCUGGCCAUAUUUGCCAACAUGCUUGGCGUGUCGUUGUUCCUGCUGGUUGUAUUGUACCACUAUGUGGCUGUCAAUAACCCCAAGAAGCAGGAUUAGUAUGCGAGUAUGACUGGCGGGGUGAGAUGGGAGU